AAUACAGAUACGUUGACCAAAAGGGCAGCGAUCGGCCUACAUUGCUCUGAUCUGUGUCAGUGGAGGUAAAGGUCAGGCCCACAAAAGCUGUGGUUUAGAGGCAACAUGAUGGGAGAGCACUGUUGCCCUUUUGAGUGAUGUCAUCUUCCUGUGCUGAGGUCAGAAACCCCAACAAAGGGCAAUGGAGCUCCUGAGGGCCAUGGCUCUGCAGGGAUCCCUCCAGCAGCUCAGGGAAGCAAGGAGCAACAUGGGAGCUGCCGGGCACGGAGAGGCCAAACAGAUGCAGAAGGCAGGGCUGGCUCUUGCAGGCUCACUGGGGGCUUUGUGAGAACACAGCUUCUGACACUACAGAGAUUUCCAUCUUACCCAGUUGGACCACAUGGAUGCAGAAACACUGCCGAGGUUGUUUACACCUUCGAACUGGAAUGAGAAAGACCUUGAAGUGAGUUUCAGAAACCUUAACUCUGAGUCCUGAAUUUUCAUCCAAAGUGUAAUUCGAUGCAAAUGGAUUGCUUAUUGUAUCCCUACAGAGAAACCAGUACUUUUCCAAAGACCUCUACGAGGGAUUUAUGAAAUAACCAUUUUCCUUUGUAACCGUAACCUUCUAAUUAGAUUUCAUCCUAAGGUGAAGUUGUUAAACCCUUCAGAACUGAGACAUUACACACAAUUCUCUAUAAUCUC